GGCGAUCUGAAUGAAACCUUCUUUGUGGGUAAUGUUGAUGAAGCAUCUCAACGGUUAGUCCAGUGCACAUAUGAGUGUUUGGAGAAAGCAAUAGCAAUUGUUAAGCCUGGGGUACGGUUUCGGGAAAUUGGAGAGGUCAUCAACCGACACGCUUCUAUGUCUGGAUUAUCUGUGGUGAAGUCAUAUUGUGGUCAUGGCAUUGGAGAGCUUUUCCACUGUGCCCCAAAUAUUCCGCAUUAUUCAAGAAAUAAAGCAGUUGGUGUGAUGAAAGCCGGCCAAACAUUUACAAUUGAACCUAUGAUUAAUGCUGGAGUUUGGCGUGAUCG
rnacentral:misc_RNA from 1 species